UAGAGUUUGAUCCUGGCUCAGAUUGAACGCUGGCGGCAUGCCUAACACAUGCAAGUCGAACGGCAGCGCGGGCUUCGGCCUGGCGGCGAGUGGCGGACGGGUGAGGAAUACAUAGGAAUCUGCCCAGACGUGGGGGAUAACCCGGGGAAACCCGGACUAAUACCGCAUACGACGGUGACGUGAAAGCCGGGGACCUUCGGGCCUGGCGCGAUUGUAUGACCCUAUGUC
rnacentral:rRNA from 1 species